AUUACCGUACCAAACCAAUGCAGGUGGGCGGGUUGGGUAUACUCAGGUGAUCGAGGCAACAGCGUUUAAGGAACUCGGCAAAAUGACUCUGUAACUUUGGGAGGAGGAGUGCUCUUUUUUAGAGUGUAAUAAACAAGGGGGGAGCGACUGUUUACUAAAAACACAGGACUCUGCAAAAUAGUAAUAUGACGUAUAGGGUCUGACGCCUGCCCGGUGCCAUUGAGCAAAAGCAAGGUGUGAAAGCAUCGAGUAUAAGCUUCGGUAAACGGCGGCUGUAACUCUGACGGUCCUAAGGUAGCGAAAUUCCUUGGCGGGUAAGUUCCGUCCUGCAUGAAUGGCGUAACGACUCCCCUACUGUCUCAAACGCUGGCUCGGGGAAAUUGAAUUGCCCGUGAAGAU
rnacentral:rRNA from 11 species